rnacentral:rRNA from 1 species
UACGGAGGGUGCAAACGUUGCUCGGAAUCAUUGGGCGUAAAGCGCACGUAGGCGGUCCAGCAAGUCGGGUGUGAAAGCCCUCGGCUUAACCGAGGAAGUGCAUUCGAAACUACUGGGCUUGAAUACUGAAGAGGAUCGCGGAAUUCCCGGUGUAGAGGUGAAAUUCGUAGAUAUCGGGAGGAACACCGGUGGCGAAGGCGGCGAUCUGGGUCGAUACUGACGCUGAGGUGCGAAAGCGUGGGGAGCAAACAGG